ensembl:lncRNA
CAGCAACCUCACACCAAGAUCACUGUGGGUGGCAGCCCACUGCUAACAAGACUCUGGGUAGACACUGCCCUAACUAGAUUUAAGACUACAAGCCUAAAGUUAUUCUCUUUAUUUGUCCUAACGGUGUUCAUGUGAGGUGUAGAACUAGUUCUGGAAUGAGUUCCCACAUCUGCCACGAUGUGGCAUAAGGACACUGCCAAAAGCAAUCUUCUGCUGAUCCUGAGAAGAUUAUUAUGUCAACUGGUGAGCUUCCUGGACUUAGUCUGGACUACGGAUGUAGCCUUUUCUACAUAGGAGAAGUGCUCCAGCCCUCUGAUCAUUCUUGUGACUUCUGGACCUACUCCAGCAGCUCCAUGUCUUUCCUGUGCUGGUGGCCCCUAGACGUGGAUGCAGUGCUGCAAGUGGGGCAUCACAUGGACAGUAGAGGGACAAUCACCUCUCUCUCCCUACUGUCCAUCUCUCUUCUUAUGCAGCCCGGGGUACUGUUGGCCUUCUGGGCUGCAAGUGCACACUUCUGGCUCGUACUGAAUUUUUAAUCUACAAAGAACACAAAGUCAUUCUCCUCAGGAUGAUUUCUGACCACUCAUUGCUCAGCCUUAUUUGUGCUUGAGAUUGCCUUGACCCAGACACAGGACCUUGUGUUUGGCCUUUUUGAAAUUCCUGAGGUUCAUGCAGGCCCCCCUCUCAUGCCUCCCCUCUGGAACCUCUGGAACCUGCAUGUGGAAGGGGACUGCCUUGAGAAAAAUUCUGUGUGUCUCACAGGGCAUGACAGUAGACUAAAACCAAGAUUUUUCCCUGCCUUGUAGCAGAAUUUAUUUGACACAGCCAGCCUCAGAAUGAGAGCUUGAGGGCUGGGCCAUGUCCCAUCUUAGUCCUCCUAGCCCCAGUGCCACUUCCCUGUUGGCCCUGGCUUUCUUCUAAGGAACUGAUAUGUGGGAUCUUUUCUGGGGCCCAGGUCACUAAAAGGCCACAGCAGCAUCUCCUCCUUACUCUAGGAAAGGUGGUGAUAGAUGCUAACAACUGCUCAGGUCCACAGCAAGAGAUCGGGGAGGGCAAGGUGUACAGCCACCAUCGUGAAUGUUGGUGAGGUCUCACCUCUCGAGCAAAAGCACCUAGAAUAUGGAGGUGCUCUUCUCCAUCUCAUCAGGGGUUUGUUCUGUUGGUAAGGUUAUGACGAAAGGCUUUCAGAUUGGGUUGUUAGUGCUUCCUCUCUUCAGGACAGAAGUACAGUGCAGCAGACCUCCUCCUGCUGCUUCAGCACUUUUGCUUCUGGCUGGCUCCUGAAUGUGGGGAGAUGCAUGGUAAUCAGAGAAGAAGCUUUCUGGAGUCCCAGAAGACAUUCU